rnacentral:rRNA from 1 species
UAGAUUAAGUUAUUAAGGGCGCACGGUGGAUGCCUUGGCACUAGAAGCCGAUGAAGGACGUUACUAACGACGAUAUGCUUUGGGGAGCUGUAAGUAAGCUUUGAUCCAGAGAUUUCCGAAUGGGGAAACCCAGCAUGAGUUAUGUCAUGUUAUCGAUAUGUGAAUACAUAGCAUAUCAGAAGGCACACCCGGAGAACUGAAACAUCUUAGUACCCGGAGGAAGAAAAAGAAAAUUCGAUUCCCUUAGUAGCGGCGAGCGAAACGGGAAGAGCCCAAACCAACAAGCUUGCUUGUUGGGGUUGUAGGACACUCUAUACGGAGUUACAAAGGACGACAUUAGACGAAUCAUCUGGAAAGAUGAAUCAAAGAAGGUAAUAAUCCUGUAGUCGAAAAUGUUGUCUCUCUUGAGUGGAUCCUGAGUACGACGGAGCACGUGAAAUUCCGUCGGAAUCUGGGAGGACCAUCUCCUAAGGCUAAAUACUCUCUAGUGACCGAUAGUGAACCAGUACCGUGAGGGAAAGGUGAAAAGCACCCCGGAAGGGGAGUGAAAUAGAACCUGAAACCGUGUGCUUACAAGUAGUCAGAGCCCGUUAAUGGGUGAUGGCGUGCCUUUUGUAGAAUGAACCGGCGAGUUACGAUUUGAUGCAAGGUUAAGCAGUAAAUGUGGAGCCGUAGCGAAAGCGAGUCUGAAUAGGGCGUUUAGUAUUUGGUCGUAGACCCGAAACCAGGUGAUCUACCCUUGGUCAGGUUGAAGUUCAGGUAACACUGAAUGGAGGACCGAACCGACUUACGUUGAAAAGUGAGCGGAUGAACUGAGGGUAGCGGAGAAAUUCCAAUCGAACCUGGAGAUAGCUGGUUCUCUCCGAAAUAGCUUUAGGGCUAGCCUCAAGUGAUGAUUAUUGGAGGUAGAGCACUGUUUGGACGAGGGGCCCCUCUCGGGUUACCGAAUUCAGACAAACUCCGAAUGCCAAUUAAUUUAACUUGGGAGUCAGAACAUGGGUGAUAAGGUCCGUGUUCGAAAGGGAAACAGCCCAGACCACCAGCUAAGGUCCCAAAAUAUAUGUUAAGUGGAAAAGGAUGUGGCGUUGCCCAGACAACUAGGAUGUUGGCUUAGAAGCAGCCAUCAUUUAAAGAGUGCGUAAUAGCUCACUAGUCGAGUGACACUGCGCCGAAAAUGUACCGGGGCUAAACAUAUUACCGAAGCUGUGGAUUGUCCUUUGGACAAUGGUAGGAGAGCGUUCUAAGGGCGUUGAAGCAUGAUCGUAAGGACAUGUGGAGCGCUUAGAAGUGAGAAUGCCGGUGUGAGUAGCGAAAGACGGGUGAGAAUCCCGUCCACCGAUUGACUAAGGUUUCCAGAGGAAGGCUCGUCCGCUCUGGGUUAGUCGGGUCCUAAGCUGAGGCCGACAGGCGUAGGCGAUGGAUAACAGGUUGAUAUUCCUGUACCACCUAUAAUCGUUUUAAUCGAUGGGGGGACGCAGUAGGAUAGGCGAAGCGUGCGAUUGGAUUGCACGUCUAAGCAGUAAGGCUGAGUAUUAGGCAAAUCCGGUACUCGUUAAGGCUGAGCUGUGAUGGGGAGAAGACAUUGAGUCUUCGAGUCGUUGAUUUCACACUGCCGAGAAAAGCCUCUAGAUAGAAAAUAGGUGCCCGUACCGCAAACCGACACAGGUAGUCAAGAUGAGAAUUCUAAGGUGAGCGAGCGAACUCUCGUUAAGGAACUCGGCAAAAUGACCCCGUAACUUCGGGAGAAGGGGUGCUCUUUAGGGUUAACGCCCAGAAGAGCCGCAGUGAAUAGGCCCAAGCGACUGUUUAUCAAAAACACAGGUCUCUGCUAAACCGUAAGGUGAUGUAUAGGGGCUGACGCCUGCCCGGUGCUGGAAGGUUAAGAGGAGUGGUUAGCUUCUGCGAAGCUACGAAUCGAAGCCCCAGUAAACGGCGGCCGUAACUAUAACGGUCCUAAGGUAGCGAAAUUCCUUGUCGGGUAAGUUCCGACCCGCACGAAAGGCGUAACGAUUUGGGCACUGUCUCAACGAGAGACUCGGUGAAAUCAUAGUACCUGUGAAGAUGCAGGUUACCCGCGACAGGACGGAAAGACCCCGUGGAGCUUUACUGUAGCCUGAUAUUGAAAUUCGGCACAGCUUGUACAGGAUAGGUAGGAGCCUUUGAAACGUGAGCGCUAGCUUACGUGGAGGCGCUGGUGGGAUACUACCCUAGCUGUGUUGGCUUUCUAACCCGCACCACUUAUCGUGGUGGGAGACAGUGUCAGGCGGGCAGUUUGACUGGGGCGGUCGCCUCCUAAAAGGUAACGGAGGCGCUCAAAGGUUCCCUCAGAAUGGUUGGAAAUCAUUCAUAGAGUGUAAAGGCAUAAGGGAGCUUGACUGCGAGACCUACAAGUCGAGCAGGGUCGAAAGACGGACUUAGUGAUCCGGUGGUUCCGCAUGGAAGGGCCAUCGCUCAACGGAUAAAAGCUACCCCGGGGAUAACAGGCUUAUCUCCCCCAAGAGUUCACAUCGACGGGGAGGUUUGGCACCUCGAUGUCGGCUCAUCGCAUCCUGGGGCUGUAGUCGGUCCCAAGGGUUGGGCUGUUCGCCCAUUAAAGCGGUACGCGAGCUGGGUUCAGAACGUCGUGAGACAGUUCGGUCCCUAUCCGUCGUGGGCGUAGGAAAUUUGAGAGGAGCUGUCCUUAGUACGAGAGGACCGGGAUGGACAUACCUCUGGUGUACCAGUUGUCGUGCCAACGGCAUAGCUGGGUAGCUAUGUGUGGACGGGAUAAGUGCUGAAAGCAUCUAAGCAUGAAGCCCCCCUCAAGAUGAGAUUUCCCAACUUCGGUUAUAAGAUCCCUCAAAGAUGAUGAGGUUAAUAGGUUCGAGGUGGAAGCAUGGUGACAUGUGGAGCUGACGAAUACUAAUCGAUCGAAGACUUAAUCAA